UACGUAGGGGGCAAGCGUUGUCCGGAUUUAUUGGGCGUAAAGAGCUCGUAGGCGGCUCGGUAAGUCGGAUGUGAAACCUCCAGGCUCAACCUGGAGACGCCAUCUGAUACUGCCGUGGCUUGAGUCCGGUAGAGGAGCAGGGAAUUCCUGGUGUAGCGGUGAAAUGCGCAGAUAUCAGGAGGAACACCGGUGGCGAAGGCGGGUCUCUGGGCAGUAACUGACGCUGAGGAGCGAAAGUGUGGGGAGCGAACAGG
rnacentral:rRNA from 1 species